UACGUAGGGGGCUAGCGUUGUCCGGAUUUAUUGGGCGUAAAGAGCGUGUAGGCGGCCAUGUAGGUCCGGUGUGAAAACUCGAGGCUUAACCUCGAGAUGUCAUCGGAAACCAUUUGGCUAGAGUCCGGAAGAGAAGAGUGGAAUUCCUGGUGUAGCGGUGAAAUGCGCAGAUAUCAGGAAGAACACCAAUGGCGAAAGCAGCUCUCUGGGACGGUACUGACGCUGAGACGCGAAAGCGUGGGGAGCGAACAGG
rnacentral:rRNA from 1 species